rnacentral:lncRNA from 1 species
AUGUCAAAAGGGGACAAUUUUGUUGUUUUCCGCAGGAUGAGAAUGGACUGUGCCUCGAAGAAGACAACUUUCGUAUGUCUUUUCCUUGGAGCCGUUGUCAUCCUCAGCUUCUCUUUCCAUCGAACCGAAAUCAAGGAAACUCCCCGACUCAGAGGCAACGUGGAAGGAGACAGCAUUACUGCAGUUUCAGGUAAGAAUCUUUUAUAGUUUCUUUAAUCAUAGUGUAUUGUUUCAAAUAACACAGAGGAGAAAAUAAAGAGGUGUCUUGCAAACAGUGCUCAUUCUUUUCCUGAGGAAGUACAGUUUAUAGUCCCGUCGCAUUUCCACGAUAUUUAAUUCUCUAUAUAUAAAAGAGUGAUGGAAUCAGGGCACCGGACAAAACAACAAAACUACAGGCCCCCCAACCUCGAAAUUUGACAAUACAACCCAUCAUCCACGGCUCUAGGUUGAUACAACAAAAAGAAAAGAAAAAUAAAGUCCUAAUUAGAGGGAAAGGAAUAAUUGUUUUUAUUCAAUUGCUGCCAGUUAGAGGGCUAAGCUCCGCCCACUUGGUCUCCUAGCAACCUACUCAGCCCAGGGGACAGGCAGAGUUAGGCCUCAGGCCUCUUCCACACUGCCUAUAAGAUACAGAUUAUCUGAUUUUAACUAGAUUAUAUGGCAGUGUAGAGUCAAGGCCCUUCCAUACAACUAUAUUACCCAUUUAUAAUCUUACUAGGUGUGCCCGGCCACGCGUUGCUCUAUGCUUCUGUUACUAUUACAGUAGUCUCUCACUUAUCCAACACUCGCUUAUCCAACGUUCUGGAUUAUCCAAGGCAUUUUUGUCGUCAAUGUUUUCAAUACAUCGUGAUAUUUUGGUGCUAAAUUCGUAAAUACAGUAAUUACAACAUAACAUUACUGUGUAUUGAACUACUUUUUCUGUCAAAUUUGUUGUAUAACAUGAUGUUUUGGUGCUUAAUUUGUAAACCCAUAACCUAAUUUGAUGUUUAAUAGGUUUUUCCUUAAUCCCUCCUCAUUAUUUAUUUAUUUGCGACAUUUAUAUACCGCCCUUCUCACCCCGAAGGGGACUCAGGGCGGUUUACAAGUAUAUAUACAUACAAUAUAUUAUAUUAUACAACUAUAUUGCAAUAUUAUUAGUAAUAUUGCAUGUAAUAUAAAUAUACAAUUAUAAUAGUGAAUUAUAAUUAUUAUUACAUUGUAUUACAACAUAAUAUUAUUAAUAUUAAUGUUAUAUAUAUUCAUAUAUUAUCCAACAUAUUCACUUAUCUAACGUUCUGCUGGCCUGUUUAUGUUGGAUAAGUUUGGUUAAGUUUGACUCUACUGUAUUAUUAUUAUUAUUAUUAUCAUCAUCAUCAUCUUCAUCAUCAUUGUUAUGUAGAGGCUGGAUGGUUUAUGGAUAAGUUUAUGUUGGAUAAGUUUGGAUAAGUUUGACUCUACUGUAUUAUUAUUAUUAUUAUCAUCAUCAUCAUCUUCAUCAUCAUUGUUAUGUAGAGGCUGGAUGGUUUAUGGAUAAGUUUAUGUUGGAUAAGUUUGGAUAAGUUUGACUCUACUGUAUUAUUAUUAUUAUUAUCAUCAUCAUCAUCUUCAUCAUCAUUGUUAUGUAGAGGCUGGAUGGCCAUCUGUCAGGAGUGCUUGGUAGAAGGAAUACCACCACUACCUCAACAAUUUCUCACCAACACACCAGACAACGCCACAGCAACGCGUGGCCGGGCACAGCUAGUAAUACAGUAGAGUCUCACUUAUCCAAGCCUCGCUUAUCCAAGCUUCUGGAUAAUCCAAGCCAUUUUUGUAGUCAAUGUUUUCAAUAUAUUGUGAUAUUUUGGUGCUAAAUUCGUAAAUACAGUAAUUACAAAAUAACAUUACUGCGUAUUGAACUACUUUUUCUGUCAAAUUUGUUGUAUAACAUGAUUUUUUGGUGCUUAAUUUGUAAAAUCAUAACCUAAUUUGAUGUUUAAUAGGUUUUUCCUUAAUCCCUCCUCAUUAUCCAACAUAUUCACUUAUCC